rnacentral:misc_RNA from 1 species
UUGUUUAAUUCUUAUUGUACUCAGAUUCCUAAAGUUACAAGAGUUUGUGAUAAUUCCUCUGGCGGGCACGCUCCAGGCGCAAACCCGGCGGCAAGGCCGGCCUGCCAAAGCAACAGAGGUAUGUCAACAUGGGGUGGGAGUCGGGACCUAAAAGGCACCCAAUACUCAGUAAUGAUCCUUCCGCAGGUUCACCUACGGAAA